rnacentral:rRNA from 1 species
UACGUAGGUGGCAAGCGUUGUCCGGAUUUACUGGGCGUAAAGAGCGCGCAGGCGGUCGUUCAAGUCGCGUGUGAAAGCCCCCGGCUCAACUGGGGAGGGUCACGCGAUACUGCUCGACUUGAAGGCAGGAGAGGGAAGUGGAAUUCCCGGUGUAGUGGUGAAAUGCGUAGAUAUCGGGAGGAACACCAGUGGCGAAGGCGGCUUCCUGGCCUGUUCUUGACGCUGAGGCGCGAAAGCUAGGGGAGCAAACGGG